AAACUCAUCGGAUGGAACUGCUGAGGACUCGGGAACGGCCCGACAGUACGUAGCCUCCUUGAUUUGGGAAGGAUGGAGGAGCCCGACGUACUGUUUCUGGCGGAGACGAAGUUGACAAAGAAAGAGUUGGAGCAGUUUCGGUGGUCAUUGGGUUUGGCGAACAUGAUGGCUUGGAAUCCUGUGGGUCCCAGUCAAGGAGUAGCUUUAUUCUUGACACGAGGGGUAAGCAUAUCGCUUAGAUCAUAUGGGAGGCGGCAUGUUGAUGUGGAUGUAACGGAGGAUGAUGGGAGGAUUUGGAGACUUACGGGUGUAUAUGGCUGUCGGUGUACAAAAGUAGGGGUCCCUUUUUGUACCCCUUUACUUGUGCGCGGGCAGUCUUAG
rnacentral:rRNA from 1 species